rnacentral:lncRNA from 1 species
GGAUAUAAAUAAAUAAAUAAACCUUUUACCAAAGACAAUAAAUACUUGCACACAAAAAAAGGUAGCAUAUAAUUUCACAAAAACAAAAAGGCCGUAGAUAAAGAAAAAAAGACAGCAGACUUUGCGGGAAAAAGAGGUAGUUUGCGAACAAAAAAACCAAAACGCGGCAGAAUUCUUAUAGUGGACCACAUAGAUAUAGGUUUAUUACUGUUUUUUUCUUCAAAGCUUACUAGAGCUUUGGUUCCGC